rfam:Emiliania huxleyi CCMP1516 EMIHTscaffold_654_Cont8555, whole genome shotgun sequence.
GCCGCCGUAGCUCAGCGGUAGAGCGUGGCACUCGUAAUGCUAAGGUCGCGAGUUCGAACCUCGCUGGCGGCU